UACGGAGGGGGCUAGCGUUGUUCGGAAUUACUGGGCGUAAAGCGCACGUAGGCGGACUGUUAAGUCGGGGGUGAAAUCCUGGGGCUCAACCUCAGAAUUGCCUCCGAUACUGGCAGUCUCGAGUGCGGGAGAGGUGAGUGGAAUUCCCAGUGAUAGAGGUGAAAUUCGUAGAUAUUGGGAAGAACACCAGUGGGCGAAGGCG
rnacentral:rRNA from 1 species